rnacentral:rRNA from 1 species
AUGAAAGAUGUUCCCUAUGCUUCAGCCAUAGGCUCUAUCAUGUAUGCAAUGCUGUGUACCAGACCUGAUGUAUGCUUAGCAAUAAGUUUAGCAGGGAGAUACCAAAGUAAUCCAGGAGUGGAUCACUGGACAGCGGUCAAGAAUAUCAUGAAAUACCUGAAAAGGACUAAGGAUAUGUUACUCGUUUAUGGAGGUGACAAAGAGCUAGUCGUAAAUGGUUACGUCGGUGCAAGCGUUGACACUGAUCCGGACGAUUCUAAAUCGCAAACUGGAUACGUGUUUAUAUUGAAUGGUGGAGCUGUCAGUUGGUGCAGUUCUAAACAAAGCAUCGUGGCGGGAUCUACAUGCGAAGCAGAGUACAUAGCUGCUUCGGAAGCAGCAAAUGAAGGAGUCUGGAUGAAGGAGUUCAUUUCCGAUCUAGGUGUCAUACCUAGUGCAUCGGGACCAAUGAAGAUCUUCUGUGACCAUACUGGUGCAAUUGCCUUGGCAAAGGAAUCCAGAUUUCACAAGAGGACCAAGCACAUAAAGAGACGCUUCAAUUCCAUCCGGGACCAAGUCCAGGUGGGAGAGAUAGAGAUUUGCAAGAUACAUACGGAUCUGGAUGUUGCAGACCCGUUGACUAAACCUCUUCCACGAGCAAAACAUGAUCAGCACCAAGACUCCAUGGGUGUUAAAAUCAUUACUGUGUAA